ACUGCAUGUGGUCUUAAUCUGUUGUUAAUGACAUUCAAGAACUUAAAGUAGGAUUCAAGCCUGAACUUGGUUCUUUGAAGUAUUACAAUGGUUUGUCACAUGGAUGUGAAAUAGCUCCUUGCCAGUACAAUACAUAAGUCCCCAAUUUUGGAGUACAGAAUAAUACAUAUGAAUUUGCUCUAUUUUACAAUCUUUAUAAUCUUUUUAUGGAAAUCUGUACCCAUGCAUUGUUGGGGAAACUGAAAAAUGGUUUCAAAGACUUUUGGUUCUUCUUCUCAGGUAUGAAACUUCAAGUUCUUGUUCUGUUAUUUAUUUAUUAUUUUAAAUUUCUAUAGUUUGCUAACAUAUCAUGUUGUCCAACCACCAGAUUUUCACAAGUGCCUUUCCUGUUCAUUAUAGUCCUCCAAAUGGUUUCCAUUUUGAAGUCAAUGAUGAAUCUUCACCUGUACAGGAUGAUCCUCAUCUAUAUGACUACAAUGUUGAACAAUGCAUAAAUGAUUUCAUUGAUGCUGCUAGGACUCAAGUAAGAAUUUUGUGUACUCUUCAUAUGAAGUGUCCUAGUGGUUUCUGAUAAGAGUACAAUGCAGCCCAUGCAUUUAAUCUAAUACUUCUCUGCACUCUCUCUAUUGUAAUUUUAUUUGGCUUUGAUGAACGGGCAAAUGUGACACGUACAAAUCACAUCAUGUGGACAAUAGGUGAUGAUUUUCAGUACCAAUAUGUUGAAUCUUGGUUCAAACAAAUGGACAAGUUUAUCCAUUAUGUUAACAAGGCAGUUAUCUAUUUGGAUGGUGAUGGUUGCAAGUUAAGAAGUGGACUGGUGAAAAUUGAGGAAGGUUUAACUCUUGACACGUUAAUUGCUUAUGAUUCAUGUGAUCUUUGAGAGACUUGUUUUGUGCCAGUGAUGAAUGUCUCUGUACAAGUCCCAUGUCAGCAGGCCGCUUAGGUAUUGUUGACAAUGAUGUUGUCGAGCUAAAUUAUCUACAACGACAGGGAGCUAUGCUGGUUAAAAGUUUGGCUGCCAAGGAACCAUCUGCAUGCUGGAAUUUCUCACUAUCUUUUUAGCAAAUUCUACCCUCUCCUUCUUCCCAUUCUCCACUUCCUCUUCUGUAUAGAGAGAGAUGGCUUGGAGGUGUCUUCUCACGCAGGUUAGAUUCACCAUCUGAAUAGCUUUAUUUUUUUGAAUCUGUUCAAUGGUUUUUUUUUUUUAAAUUUUCCUUC